rnacentral:rRNA from 1 species
UGGGGAAUAUUGCACAAUGGGGGAAACCCUGAUGCAGCGACGCCGCGUGAGUGAAGAAGUAUUUCGGUAUGUAAAGCUCUAUCAGCAGGGAAGAAGAAAGACGGUACCUGACUAAGAAGCCCCGGCUAACUACGUGCCAGCAGCCGCGGUAAUACGUAGGGGGCAAGCGUUAUCCGGAUUUACUGGGUGUAAAGGGAGCGUAGACGGCGAUGCAAGUCUGAAGUGAAGGCCCAGGGCUCAACCCUGGGACUGCUUUGGAAACUGUGUUGCUAGAGUGCUGGAGAGGUAAGUGGAAUUCCUAGUGUAGCGGUGAAAUGCGUAGAUAUUAGGAGGAACACCAGUGGCGAAGGCGGCUUACUGGACAGUAACUGACGUUGAGGCUCGAAAGCGUGGGGAGCAAACAG